CCUGAAACCAAAGAUUUGAUCCGGUUUAUGAAACCAGCAUGCCCAAGAACUAUGAAGCCAAAACCUUCUGCUCCUCUGAUCAGCUAAAUGCAGGUACAGAGGAAGGGUGUAUAACUCUACCUGGGCAAGGAGACACCAGAAAGGCUUCAGCGAAUGUG